GACGAACGCUGGCGGCGUGCUUAACACAUGCAAGUCGAACGGAGUGGCGAACGGGUGAGUAACGCGUAAUCAACCUGCCCUUCAGAGGGGGUCAACAGUUGGAAACGACUGCUAAUACCGAAUACUGAAGGGGGAGAUUGCGUUUGAUUAGCUAGUUGGAGGGGUAACGGCCCACCAAGGCGAUGAUCAGUAGCCUGUCGGAGAGGAUGAACGGCCACAUGUGGACUGCGUCCCGGCCCCGAUUCCCACGGGAGGCAGCAGUGGGGAAUUUUUCGCAAUGGACGAAAGUCUGACGGUGGAACGCCGCGUUAGUGAUGACGGCCUUCGGGUUGUAAAGCUCCGUUCAUCGGGACGCGGUACCGGAAUAGAAAGCCACGGCUAACUACGUGCCAGCAGCCGCGGUAAUUC
rnacentral:rRNA from 1 species